GUCCAGGGUAGCCUAGUGGACAUGGCAUCUGCCCGGAAAGCGGAACGUUGUGGGUUCGAUUCCCCCCCCCCCUAGACA
rnacentral:tRNA from 1 species